rnacentral:rRNA from 1 species
AUACGGAGGGUGCAAGCGUUACUCGGAAUCACUGGGCGUAAAGCGCGCGCAGGCGGGCUGAUAAGCUGGGAGUGAAAGCCUACGGCUCAACCGUAGAACUGCUUUCCAAACUGUCAGUCUAGAGUCUGGGAGGGGAAGAUGGAAUUAGUUGUGUAGGGGUAAAAUCCGUAGAGAUAACUAGGAAUACCAAAAGCGAAGGCGAUCUUCUGGAACAGUACUGACGCUGAGGCGCGAAAGCGUGGGGAGCAAACAGGAUUAGAAACCCUAGUAGUCC